rnacentral:misc_RNA from 1 species
GAAAUGCGAUAAGUAGUGUGAAUUGCAGAAUUCAGUGAAUCUUCGAAUCUUUGAACGCACAUUGCGCCCCUUGGUAUUCCAUGGGGCAUGCCUGUUCGAGCGUCAUUUGUACCCUCAAGCUCUGCUUGGUGUUGGGUGUUUGUCCCGUCUCCGCGCGUGGACUCGCCCCAAAGUGAUUGGCAGCCGGCGUACUGGUCCCGGAGCGCAGCACAUGUCGCGCAAACGAGUGCCUUGGUACGGCGGCGUCCAUAAGCCCCUCUCUCACGCUCUUGACCUCGGAUCAGGUAGGGAUACCCGCUGAACUUAAGC